rnacentral:tRNA from 1 species
CAGAGCAUAAUUUAAAAAANAUAACUCGCUUACACCGAAUUCAUGUCUGUUAAACCCAGACUGCUCCGU